CCUGAGAAACCCAAAAGAUCGAAUGGGGAGAUUCAUCGUCAGCGAUACUGGCACGUGUGCGGUUCGUGAUGCCGGGGGCUUCGGUCGCUUGGCACACGUCCGUAUGGUUUUUUGCCCAGUUUGUCGUCGGCGUGCACUUCUCCCCUAGUAGGACGUCGCGACCCGUUGGGUGUCGGUCUACGGCACGGGUGGGCGCCUGUCAUGUGCUUCGCUUAACGGCGUCAUGUGGCAGACCCCCGGUUGUCUGACCAGCUGCCCGGCGGUACUCGCACGGUAUCGAGUCGCAAAUAUUCGAACUGCGUCCGGCCCGCCGCAAGCCGAGGCCAGUGCAUCCCGGAUGUACGGACUUUGCGCCGUCACCGGGCCUGGCCAGCUGUUGGUUGGCGGUGUCCUUGGACUGACUCUUUAUUAUGAUACCGGUCGGCGACGCUACUGCUUUGGUA
rnacentral:rRNA from 1 species